GGAGAGGAGGCCGAGUGGCUGAAGGCGCUCCCCUGCUAAUGGAGUAUAUGCGUUAAACACUAUCGAGAGUUCGAAUCUCUUCCUCUCCGCCA
rnacentral:tRNA from 1 species